UUCCGCUACCUGACAAUAGAUGGUGUUG
rnacentral:sRNA from 1 species